GUCUAGACAUUGUCUACAUGGGCAGAGGUCUGGUGGCCAUGCUCGGGGUGGACGGGCUCGAAGGUUGACGGGGGAUCAAAUUACGAGACUGGAAUGCCGGACCACGCGAGGGACUCUAGAAUCACAGACAUCUGACCCUAAAGCUCGGCCACCUUUGUUGUCAAAGUAGUCACCUAACUGUUUGACUGCGACGACGAACGAGGUCUAGGUUCCCUCCGCCAGGCAUUCCCCAUCCCUUGACAAUAUGUCCCCGGCCUCCUCCCGAGAGUCUAAUCCAACGUCUCCAUCAACAUCUGAAACCCAGCAUCCUGUGAAGGAUCCACAGACUCGAUCGGAGUAUUGGGAAGAAGUUGGGAGGCGGACUCCUGAAGAACUAACUGGCUCCUCUCCACCAUCGUCGUCUGUUUGACAUAACAUAAAAUAUAAAUUGAAACCAUAAAAUAUAAAUUAAAACAUUCAUAUAAUAACCCUGAAACUUGAGUGCAUAACAUAAGAAUUAAAAUUAAAGAGUACUUACAUGAAGGGACUCGGCCAACUCAUUCCCAGGUCGAACAUAAACGUCGCCAAAGACGUUGAUCUCCGGGAAUUUGGACCCCCCUCCCUAAAUUGAACAAGAGAAUAAAAAUGUUAGUACGAAAAAAAAUAAAUUAAUAUUAAUGACAUAUUAAAAAUUGAAUAUAAACUAUUUUAUUAUUACCCGCCGCCGUGCAUCCAUCCUAUAUGAGAAGGGCCUAGAACCUGAAUUGUGGAGAAGAGUCUUCUUGUUCCUAUUGCCCUUAUUGACUUU
rnacentral:lncRNA from 1 species